rnacentral:rRNA from 1 species
UAGCAUAUCAAUAAGCGGAGGAAAAGAAACCAACAGGGAUUGGCCUUUAGUAACGGCGAGUGAAGCGGCAACAGCUCAAAUUUGAAAGCUGGCUCCUUCGGAGUCCGCGUUGUAAUUUGUAGAGGAUGAUUCGGCGAGGGCUCCCGCCUAAGUCCCCUGGAACGGGGCGUCAUAGAGGGUGAGAAUCCCGUAUGCGGUGGGUUGCCUUAGCCAUGUGAAUCUCCUUCGACGAGUCGAGUUGUUUGGGAAUGCAGCUCUAAAUGGGAGGUAAAUUUCUUCUAAAGCUAAAUACCGGCCAGAGACCGAUAGCGCACAAGUAGAGUGAUCGAAAGAUGAAAAGCACUUUGGAAAGAGAGUUAAAAAGUACGUGAAAUUGUUGAAAGGGAAGCGCUUGCAGCCAGACUUGUCCGCAGUUGCUCAACCGGUCUCCUGACCGGUGUACUCUUCUGCGGCCAGGCCAGCAUCAGUUCGGGCGGUCGGAUAAAGGCCCUGGGAAUGUAGCUCCUCUCGGGGAGUGUUAUAGCCCAGGGUGGAAUGCGGCCAGCCUGGACUGAGGAUCUCGCUUCGGCUAGGAUGCUGGCGUAAUGGCUGUAAGCGGCCCGUCUUGAAACACGGACCAAGGAGUCUAACAUCUAUGCGAGUGUUUGGGUGUCAAACCCAUGCGCGUAAUGAAAGUGAACGGAGGUGGGAACCCUCACGGGUGCACCAUCGACCGAUCCUGAUGUCUUCGGAUGGAUUUGAGUAAGAGCAUAGCUGUUGGGACCCGAAAGAUGGUGAACUAUGCCUGAAUAGGGUGAAGCCAGAGGAAACUCUGGUGGAGGCUCGCAGCGGUUCUGACGUGCAAAUCGAUCGUCAAAUUUGGGUAUAGGGGCGAAAGACUAAUCGAACCAUCUAGUAGCUGGUUCCUGCGA